rnacentral:rRNA from 1 species
UACGGGGGGGGCAAGCGUGGUUCGGAAUUACUGGGCGUAAAGGGCUCGUAGGCGGCCAACUAAGUCGGAUGUGAAAUCCCCAAGCUUAACUUGGGAACUGCAUCCGAUACUGGAUGGCUUGAAUCCGGGAGAGGGAUGCAGAAUUCCAGGUGUAGCGGUGAAAUGCGUAGAUAUCGAGAGGAACACCUGCGGCGAAGGCGGCUUCCUGGACCGACACUGACGCUGAGGCGCGAAAGCUAGGGGAGCAAACAGG